rnacentral:rRNA from 1 species
UAAUACGUAGGGUGCGAGCGUUGUCCGGAAUUAUUGGGCGUAAAGAGCUCGUAGGUGGUCCGUCACGUCGGGUGUGAAAACCCAGGGCUCAACCCUGGGCGUGCACUCGAUACGGGCGGACUAGAGUUCGGUAGGGGAGACUGGAAUUCCUGGUGUAGCGGUGGAAUGCGCAGAUAUCAGGAGGAACACCGGUGGCGAAGGCGGGUCUCUGGGCCGAUACUGACACUGAGGAGCGAAAGCGUGGGGAGCGAACAGGAUUAGAUACCCUGGUAGUCCACGCCGUAAACGUUGGGCGCUAGGUGUGGGGAACCUUCCACGUUCUCCGUGCCGCAGCUAACGCAUUAAGCGCCCCGCCUGGGGAGUACGGCCGCAAGGCUA